rnacentral:rRNA from 1 species
CCGCAAGGAGUGGGGUUGCGGCGUCAGGUGGGCUGCGGUGGCUAGCAAGUAGUCGAAUUUUCGGGUUUAAACUGUGGGCCGGGGACAUCCAUAAGAGACAGAGAGGUCGGCGAUCUGUGCUUCUUCUUCAGGCGCUGAGAUCGCCGCCAACGGGUGCCGGUUACUCUUCCUUCGGCGCCGUCAAGGUCCCUGUUCUUCUACUGUCGUCGGGGGGCUACCGGAGGACGUUCGUGUCGCUCCUUUUUUCCCACCACACCAAGCCAACCUACGGGGCAAUGAUUUUUUAGAACAACUUUUUGACGUCAAAAGACAUUUCUAUAUACAAACUCAUCACAGGCUUAAAUGGUUCCACAAUCCAAAGAAUAACUCCUUCUCCAACAGUUCUUCUGUUUUAGUCAACCCUUCGAGUUUGUUCUUCGACUCUUAACGGAUAUUAUCUCACUUUCUAAAUUCUUGCUCUUCCGACUCAAACUCGUUCGAAGGAAGUUUUUUCCCCUGCCUCCACAUCGCUCUAGGACCUCUCCGGCGCGGCUACGUAGAAGAUUUCCCACUGAGCUUUGAUCGUCUCCCUAUCCCUAGUACGCUUUUGCGACUAAGUCACUUUUAGACCUUUGAGUUGAACACCCGGUAGUCUAGUUAUUCCUCACGUGUCUACUCUCCCACCCGAACGAUUAGUGGACCAACAUGAAAAUGUGCCCGACUGACAUAAGUACCGUUUAAACAACCGUUGUUCCUACCACUAAGUACCUUUCAUUUUACCAAUAAAAGAGACUAGAUUUGUACACUAUUUUUUG